AUGGCGCGCGGGAGGGGCGGGGCCACGCUGCGGGCCCGGGCCAUGGCCGCCGCCGAUGCCGAGGCGGUUCCGGCGAAGGGGGAGACCAAGCAGGACUGCGGCCUGGGAGCCGAGCUGCCGAGUGAAGGGUCACCCAUGGCUGCUGAUGACGGCUCAGCGGAACAGCAGGGAGGGGAGGCCCCGGUGGCUGCAGACGGGGAGACCAACGGGUCCUGUGACCAGAGCAACGCCAGCGGCCACGCGGCUGCUGUGAAGCACCCUCAGGAGAGCACGCGGGGCAGCCCGCAGGAGGGGGCCGGCCCGGGGGCCCGGAUAGCGGAGAAUGGGAUUCUGGACAGAGACCCCGAGCUGGGGAGGCAGAACCACAUCCGCUCUGACGGCUUCCCCCAGAGUCCUGUCGUCGGGAGCAACGGCUACUUCCUUGGCAAGGCCCCCUUGUCUGAGCCGCCACUGCGGGUGGCCAGCACCCUGGCCUCCUCCCUGCCUGGCCAUGCGGCGAAGACCCUUCCUGGUGGGGCUGGCAAAGGGAGGACUCCCGGUGCUUUCCCCCAGCCGCCGGCUGCUGUGCCAGCCAAGCCUGGGGAGGGCAGCAAGGACACAGAGGACAAGAAGGCCCCGGCCCCGGGCGCCGACAUCAAGGUCCACAGGGCUCGGAAGACCAUGCCGAAGUCCAUCCCGGGCCUGCCCGCGGCGAGUAAGGACCCCAGGGAAGGCCGGGACGCCCGCGACCGCGAGGAGCCGAAAGAGGAGCUGAGCAGGGGCGCCUCGGAGUCUGCACGCCAGCAGCUUUCACCCCCCUUCCCGUCCCUUCACCAGUCGCUACCUCAGAACCAAUGCUACGUGGCCACCGCGAAGGCCCAGACAGCUUGCUUGCCUUUUGUUUUAGCAGCUGCAGUAUCUCGGAAGAAAAAGCGAAGAAUGGGGACCUAUAGCCUGGUUCCUAAGAAAAAGACCAAAGUGUUGAAGCAGAGGACGGUGAUUGAGAUGUUUAAGAGUAUAACUCAUUCCACGGGGGGCUCCAAGGGGGAGAAGGAUCUGAGUGACGGCUCCCUCCACGUGAACGGUGAGAGCCUGGACCUGGACUCGGAGGAGGACGACUCGGAGGAGCUGGAUGAGGAUGAGGACCAGGGCGGCCCGCCAGCAGCUGCGUUCCCCAUUGAGGAUGGCAGGGCUUCCAAGGACGGCGUGCUGGCGCCUGACCACAGCCAGAAGGUGGACGGCGAGUCUGAAGAGGAGCAGGAGUCGGCCGGCACUGCAGACGAGGAGGAGGACGGGGACGAGUCCGACCUGAGCUCAGAGUCCAGCGUCAAGAAGAAGUUCCUCAAGAGGAAGGGGAAGCCUGACAGCCCUUGGAUCAAGCCAGCGAGAAAGAGGAGGCGGAGAAGCAAAAAGAAGCCCUGCUCUGUGCUAGGUUCUGAAGCCUCUGCGUCGUCUUCGGGCAGUGCGGAGCCCACGGCGCCUGGCGACGGCGGGGGGUACGUGGAGGUGCCGCUGGACUCCUUGGAUCUCCAUGUCCAGGGUGUGCUGACCUCUGACACAGAAGGGCUGGCCAACGGUCCUGACGCGGGCGAGACGGACGGCCUCCAGGAGGUGCCCCUCUGCAGCUGCCGGAUGGAGACCCCAAAGAGCCGGGAGAUCACCACCCUGGCCAACAACCAGUGCAUGGCCACAGAGAGCGUGGACCACCAGCUGGGCAGGUGCACAAACAGCGUGGUGAAGCAUGAGCUGAUGCGUCCGUCCAGCAAGGCGCCGCUGCUGGUGCUGUGUGAGGACCACCGGGGCCGGAUGGUGAAGCACCAGUGUUGCCCUGGCUGCGGCCACUUCUGCACGGCUGGUAAUUUUAUGGAAUGUCAGCCUGAGAGCAGCAUUUCUCAUCGUUUCCACAAAGCCUGUGCCUCUCGAGUCAAUGAUGCCAGCUACUGCCCCCACUGUGGGGAGGAGACCUCCAAGGCCAGAGAGGUGACCAUUGCGAAGGCAGACACGACGUCCACGGCGACCCUGGCGCCCGGGCAGGAGAAGAGCUGUGUAGCGGAGGGCAGGGCCGACACCACCACGGGAAGCGCUGCUGGCCCCCUGCUCUCAGAGGAGGACAAGCCGCAGAGCCUGGCCCCCCAGGUGCCGGAGGGCUUCGACCCCACAGGGCCAGCUGGGCUGGGGAAGCCGGCACCGGGCCUCUCCCAGGGGCCUGGGAAGGAGACCCUGGAGAGCGCGCUCAUCGCCCUGGACUCUGAAAAACCCAAGAAGCUCCGCUUCCACCCGAAGCAGCUGUACUUCUCGGCGCGGCAGGGAGAGCUGCAGAAGGUGCUGCUCAUGUUGGUUGACGGGAUCGAUCCCAACUUCAAGAUGGAGCAUCAGAACAAGCGCUCGCCCCUGCACGCCGCGGCGGAGGCUGGCCACGUGGACAUCUGCCAUAUGCUUAUCCAGGCGGGCGCCAACAUCGACACCUGCUCCGAGGACCAGAGGACCCCGCUGAUGGAGGCUGCCGAGAACAACCACUUGGACGCAGUGAAGUACCUCAUCAAGGCCGGGGCCCUCGUGGAUCCCAAGGACGCAGAGGGCUCGACCUGUUUGCACCUGGCUGCCAAGAAAGGCCACUACGAUGUGGUUCAGUACCUGCUCUCAAACGGACAGAUGGACGUCAACUGUCAGGAUGACGGUGGCUGGACGCCCAUGAUCUGGGCCACUGAGUACAAGCACGUGGACCUCGUGAAGCUGCUGCUCUCCAAGGGGUCUGACAUCAACAUCCGGGACAACGAGGAGAACAUCUGCCUGCACUGGGCGGCUUUCUCGGGCUGUGUGGACAUCGCCGAGAUCCUGCUGGCCGCCAGGUGCGACCUUCACGCGGUGAACAUCCAUGGGGACUCGCCCCUGCACAUCGCGGCCCGGGAGGACCGCUACGCCUGUGUCGUCCUCUUCCUGUCCCGGGACUCGGACGUCACCCUGAAGAACAAGGAGGGGGAGACGCCCCUGCAGUGCGCCAGCCUCAACUCCCAGGUGUGGAGCGCCCUGCAGGUGAGCCAGGCACUGCGGGAUGCGGCCCCCGACAGGCCUACCCCGGUGGAGAAGACAGUGAGCAGGGACAUCGCUCGGGGCUAUGAGCGGAUCCCCAUCCCCUGUGUCAACGGCGUGGACGGCGAGCCGUGCCCCAGCAACUACAAGUACGUGUCUCAGAACUGCGUGACGUCCCCCAUGAACAUCGACAGGAACAUCACACACCUGCAGUACUGCGUGUGCGUCGACGACUGCUCGUCCAGCAACUGCAUGUGCGGCCAGCUCAGCAUGCGCUGCUGGUACGGCAAGGAUGGCCGGCUGCUGCCCGAGUUCAACAUGGCAGAGCCGCCGCUGCUGUUCGAGUGCAACCACGCCUGCUCCUGCUGGAGGACGUGCCGCAACCGCGUGGUGCAGAACGGCCUCAGGGCGAGGCUGGCAGCUCUAUCGGACACAGAACAUGGGCUGGGGCGUCCGGUCCCUGCAGGACAUCCCGCUGGGCACCUUUGUUUGCGAGUACGUUGGGGAGCUUAUCUCCGACUCGGAAGCGGACGUGCGGGAAGAAGACUCUUACCUCUUCGACCUUGACAACAAGGACGGAGAGCUGUACUGCAUCGACGCGCGUUUCUACGGCAACGUCAGCCGCUUCAUCAACCACCACUGCGAGCCCAAUCUGGUGCCCGUGCGCGUGUUCAUGUCCCACCAGGACCUGCGCUUCCCGCGGAUCGCCUUCUUCAGCACCCGCCUGAUUGAGGCCGGGGAGCAGCUGGGCUUCGACUACGGGCAGCGCUUCUGGGACAUCAAGGGCAAGCUCUUCAGCUGCCUCUGCGGCUCCCCCAAGUGCCGCCACUCUGGGGCCGCGCUGGCCCAGCGGCAGGCCGGCGCCCAGGAGGACGGGCUGCCCGACACCAGCUCCUCGCCCGCCGACCCGCUAUGAGAGCGCCGCCCGGCGCCCGAGUGGACGCCGUUCGCUGUGGUUUGGGGAGGACGCAGAGGCCGGGAGACCGGCUGGCCUGCCCGGGGCCGCGGGGGGCGGGGACGCCUGGGCUCCUCGCCGGCCUCGCCGUGAGUUCCCGACGGAGGUCUUUCUGCUCCACGUUUCUCGUCUCCCCUUGCGCGCCGUCGCUCCCGGCUCACUGCCGGGCUGGGGGCCGUGCCCUGUCCGCCCGGACUCUCCGUGUGGCCCGCCGCGGCCCGCAUGGCUGGUGCUGGCUCUGGGCAGCACAGACCCCGUGCCCACCGCCCCUGCGAGGUCAGGGCCGAGCCGCUGCUGACUUUGGAGAAAACGUGGGUUUGCUUUUUAAAGAAAUCCUAUAUCUAGCCCUAUACACCAGACCUCUCACGCGUUUCUUUCCGAGGAUGCGGCUCGGGGUGCAAGAUGGCCGUGGCCCCGGGGCACCGCACCUCCUCUUGAUUCUAAGCCACAUGCUAUGAUGAUGAGUAAACUGAUUUAUUUUCUACCAUUAUUGGACGUUAGGACAAACGAAAAAUAAACACAAAAACACAGACCACGGUGCUGAUUCUGGUGUGGUUUCUACUCACCAUGUGAAAAUGAACUAUCAACUGUGUAAAGAGAACAAAGUGAUUUUAGGGUAAAAUGCAGGAAACUUUUUUUAAAAUGUUAGUCUUGUAGUGUGAAUAAAAUUGCCGUCACCUUUUGUGUGAUGGCCUGCCAGGUCAUACCCUUUUUUUCGGCAUAUACUUUUUUAAAGACUGUAAUUAGUGCAGUAACAGUGGGUUUUUCUGUGCAACUCUUCUAAAACAUUCAUAAUGCAGCCAUGUUUAUUUUUUCUGUUAAAAUGUUUUUGACAGUUCCAAGAGCAGUCUUUUGGCUCAGACCAUUUCUUGUUCUGUUUUCAAUGAAAUCAAUAAAAAAAAAAAAAAAAAGAAGUACUUUAA